AUUGAACGCUGGCGGAAUGCUUUACACAUGCAAGUCGAGGGGUAUAGGCUUUCGGCCUAGAGACCGGCGCACGGGUGCGUAACGCGUAUGCAAUCUGCCUUACACUGGGGGAUAGCCCAGAGAAAUUUGGAUUAAUACCCCAUAGUAUUUUAGGCUGGCAUCAGGGUAUUACUAAAGUUUUUCGGGUUAAGAUGAGCAUGCGUCCCAUUAGCUAGUUGGUAUGGUAACGGCAUACCAAGGCAAUGAUGGGUAGGGGUCCUGAGAGGGAGAUCCCCCACACUGGUACCGAGACACGGACCAGACUCCUACGGGAGGCAGCAGUGAGGAAUAUUGGUCAAUGGGCGAGAGCCUGAACCAGCCAUGCCGCGUGCAGGAUGAAGCAUCUAUGGUGUGUAAACUGCUUUUGUACGGGAAGAAACACCUCUACGUGUAGAGGCUUGACGGUACCGUAAGAAUAAGGAUCGGCUAACUCCGUGCCAGCCGCCGCGGUAA
rnacentral:rRNA from 1 species